rnacentral:rRNA from 1 species
ACUCCUACGGGAGGCAGCAGUGGGGAAUAUUGCACAAUGGGCGCAAGCCUGAUGCAGCCAUGCCGCGUGUAUGAAGAAGGCCUUCGGGUUGUAAAGUACUUUCAGCAGUGAGGAAGGUGGGUAUGUUAAUAGCAUAUUCAUUUGACGUUAGCUGCAGAAGAAGCACCGGCUAACUCCGUGCCAGCAGCCGCGGUAAUACGGAGGGUGCGAGCGUUAAUCGGAAUUACUGGGCGUAAAGCGCAUGCAGGUGGUUUGUUAAGUCAGAUGUGAAAGCCCGGGGCUCAACCUCGGAAUUGCAUUUGAAACUGGGCAAACUAGAGUACUGUAGAGGGGGGGUAGAAUUUCAGGUGUAGCGGUGAAAUGCGUAGAGAUCUGAAGGAAUACCGGUGGCGAAGGCGGCCCCCUGGACAGAUACUGACACUCGAGAUAGCGAAAGCGUGGGGAGCAAACAGGAUUAGAUACCCCGGUAGGCUCU